rnacentral:sRNA from 1 species
UGCAUCUGAAGCUCAAAGAGGAUGAGAACCUCCGAAGGAGGUUUGAGCCGAGCGUAGCGAGACAACGUUGCUUUAGCAACGGCCCGCAGGGGAAUCAUCCUCUCUCGCCGACCA